UCGUAGGGUGCAAGCGUUAAUCGGAAUUACUGGGCGUAAAGCGUGCGCAGGCGGUGAUGUAAGACAGGUGUGAAAUCCCCGGGCUUAACCUGGGAACUGCAUUUGUGACUGCAUCGCUGGAGUGCGGCAGAGGGGGAUGGAAUUCCGCGUGUAGCAGUGAAAUGCGUAGAGAUGCGGAGGAACACCGAUGGCGAAGGCAGCCCCCUGGGAUAACACUGACGCUCAAGCACGAAAGCGUGGGGAGCAAACAGGA
rnacentral:rRNA from 1 species